rnacentral:rRNA from 1 species
GAUGAACGCUGGCGGCGUGCUUAACACAUGCAAGUCGAACGGAAAGGCCUCUGCUUGCAGGGGUACUCGAGUGGCGAACGGGUGAGUAACACGUGGGUGAUCUGCCCUGCACUUCGGGAUAAGCCUGGGAAACUGGGUCUAAUACCGGAUAGGACAAUGGUUUGGAUGCUGUUGUGGAAAGUUUUUCGGUGUGGGAUGAGCUCGCGGCCUAUCAGCUUGUUGGUGGGGUAAUGGCCUACCAAGGCGUCGACGGGUAGCCGGCCUGAGAGGGUGUACGGCCACAUUGGGACUGAGAUACGGCCCAGACUCCUACGGGAGGCAGAAGUGGGGAAUAUUGCACAAUGGGGGCAAGCCUGAGGCAGCGACGCCGCGUGGGGGAUGACGGCCUUCGGGUUGUAAACUCCUUUCGCUAGGGACGAAGCGUUUUUGUGACGGUACCUGGAGAAGAAGCACCGGCUAACUACGUG